AAAUUGAAGAGUUUGAUCAUGGCUCAGAUUGAACGCUGGCGGCAGGCCUAACACAUGCAAGUCGAACGGUAACAGGAAGCAGCUUGCUGCUUUGCUGACGAGUGGCGGACGGGUGAGUAAUGUCUGGGAAACUGCCUGAUGGAGGGGGAUAACUACUGGAAACGGUAGCUAAUACCGCAUAACGUCGCAAGACCAAAGAGGGGGACCUUCGGGCCUCUUGCCAUCGGAUGUGCCCAGAUGGGAUUAGCUAGUAGGUGGGGUAACGGCUCACCUAGGCGACGAUCCCUAGCUGGUCUGAGAGGAUGACCAGCCACACUGGAACUGAGACACGGUCCAGACUCCUACGGGAGGCAGCAGUGGGGAAUAUUGCACAAUGGGCGCAAGCCUGAUGCAGCCAUGCCGCGUGUAUGAAGAAGGCCUUCGGGUUGUAAAGUACUUUCAGCGGGGAGGAAGGGAGUAAAGUUAAUACCUUUGCUCAUUGACGUUACCCGCAGAAGAAGCACCGGCUAACUCCGUGCCAGCAGCCGCGGUAAUACGGAGGGUGCAAGCGUUAAUCGGAAUUACUGGGCGUAAAGCGCACGCAGGCGGUUUGUUAAGUCAGAUGUGAAAUCCCCGGGCUCAACCUGGGAACUGCAUCUGAUACUGGCAAGCUUGAGUCUCGUAGAGGGGGUAGAAUUCCAGGUGUAGCGGUGAAAUGCGUAGAGAUCUGGAGGAAUACCGGUGGCGAAGGCGGCCCCCUGGACGAAGACUGACGCUCAGGUGCGAAAGCGUGGGGAGCAAACAGGAUUAGAUACCCUGGUAGUCCACGCCGUAAACGAUGUCGACUUGGAGGUUGUGCCCUUGAGGCGUGGCUUCCGGAGCUAACGCGUUAAGUCGACCGCCUGGGGAGUACGGCCGCAAGGUUAAAACUCAAAUGAAUUGACGGGGGCCCGCACAAGCGGUGGAGCAUGUGGUUUAAUUCGAUGCAACGCGAAGAACCUUACCUGGUCUUGACAUCCACGGAAGUUUUCAGAGAUGAGAAUGUGCCUUCGGGAGCCGUGAGACAGGUGCUGCAUGGCUGUCGUCAGCUCGUGUUGUGAAAUGUUGGGUUAAGUCCCGCAACGAGCGCAACCCUUAUCCUUUGUUGCCAGCGGUCCGGCCGGGAACUCAAAGGAGACUGCCAGUGAUAAACUGGAGGAAGGUGGGGAUGACGUCAAGUCAUCAUGGCCCUUACGACCAGGGCUACACACGUGCUACAAUGGCGCAUACAAAGAGAAGCGACCUCGCGAGAGCAAGCGGACCUCAUAAAGUGCGUCGUAGUCCGGAUUGGAGUCUGCAACUCGACUCCAUGAAGUCGGAAUCGCUAGUAAUCGUGGAUCAGAAUGCCACGGUGAAUACGUUCCCGGGCCUUGUACACACCGCCCGUCACACCAUGGGAGUGGGUUGCAAAAGAAGUAGGUAGCUUAACCUUCGGGAGGGCGCUUACCACUUUGUGAUUCAUGACUGGGGUGAAGUCGUAACAAGGUAACCGUAGGGGAACCUGCGGUUGGAUCACCUCCUUACCUUAAAGAAGC
rnacentral:rRNA from 1 species